rnacentral:lncRNA from 1 species
AUAAAUAAACAUGAACAUGAAUGAACUCAAAUUUCUAGACGAAAAACAAAAAAGCAGCUAACUUAUAAUAUACAAAACUGGUGAAUUUGAUUUGUGAAAACAGUUUGAAUCAGAGAAGAAGUGGUAGGCUAAUACAUGUAUUUUACAAUAUAGAAACAAUAUAGAGAAGAAUACAAUAGAAGGAGAUGAAGAAGACCCAUCGGAGGCAACUGACUGACGUGGAUUUGAGCUUUCGACCAUGAAACAAAAGUUGCUGUGAAUAAAAUAAAUUUACAAAAUUUAGUUGGGAGUGACCCACCAAACGUGAGACCCAUCAAAGGUUUUGUGACCCAACCAAAAAGUGGACCAUUAUGAUAGUUAACUAAUGAUGAAAUGAUGACGAUACAGCAUGUCGGUCUUAUGAGCUCUCUCCCUUUCUUCACAUUACAGGCCGCACCGAACCUAAGAAGUCAGGCUUCGACCGUGUUGGCACAACAACCAGCUUUCAAGUCAGAGAACAUAAGGUUCAAGGUGGCCAUUGAUGGUGUGUGGGUUUGAAAGGCACUGUAAUGAUGAGUAGCAGGAGGCUUGUUCAGGGAGGAAUUUGCAGUUGCAACAGCUAAUCAGUACACUUCAUCUUUGUUAAGCGUUUCAAUGAGACAAUCAGACAACUGCACAUACUCUUAACCUGAAACGGGUAUGUAGGCGUAACAUCUAAAGGACACUCCUACAAUAUAUCAUAACUUUAUCAGACAAUGAAACAUAGAUCAUGUCGAGGUUAAAAGGAAGAAGCACAUAUCCAAACAAUCUCUUGUAUGUCUUGACAUCAAUCUAUAGUGUUGUGAUACUUCUUCAGCAUCACCCGCAUACAUACUCAAAUGCUGAGUAAACGCCUGGGGAAAAGACAGAAAUAAACAAAAUCAAACCUAAGUGGGCAACUUAUAAAGAGCCUGAAGCAUAUUCCCAGUGAACCUUCAAGCUUCAAAAUGGCUCGGAGGAAUCAAAAAGAUGUAUUUCUUUGAAUAGCAUAUACUUGCCUAAACCAAGUAUUUUUCUUUUAUCAUUCCUACGGCAGUUCCACCUAGGCCAAGAGCUCAAACAAUAUCUGGAAUAAUAAAAUAAAUAGCAUUGUUAAUUAAAAAAAAUGUUCCACAAAAAUUCCUCAUAAGAUUUAUAAUACUCUUAAUCAUCUAGAGAAUCAAUUUUAUGGAUUCUCUUAUUCUACAAUAUAAGUGGAUGGUAAUGUAGUAUCUGAAACUUAGAAAAAAAAUAUUAUAGAUCUUUAUAAAUAAACAUGAACAUGAAUGAACUCAAAUUUCUAGACGAAAAACAAAAAAGCAGCUAACUUAUAAUAUACAAAACUGGUGAAUUUGAUUUGUGAAAACAGUUUGAAUCAGAGAAGAAGUGGUAGGCUAAUACAUGUAUUUUACAAUAUAGAAACAAUAUAGAGAAGAAUACAAUAGAAGGAGAUGAAGAAGACCCAUCGGAGGCAACUGACUGACGUGGAUUUGAGCUUUCGACCAUGAAACAAAAGUUGCUGUGAAUAAAAUAAAUUUACAAAAUUUAGUUGGGAGUGACCCACCAAACGUGAGACCCAUCAAAGGUUUUGUGACCCAACCAAAAAGUGGACCAUUAUGAUAGUUAACUAAUGAUGAAAUGAUGACGAUACAGCAUGUCGGUCUUAUGAGCUCUCUCCCUUUCUUCACAUUACAGGCCGCACCGAACCUAAGAAGUCAGGCUUCGACCGUGUUGGCACAACAACCAGCUUUCAAGUCAGAGAACAUAAGGUUCAAGGUGGCCAUUGAUGGUGUGUGGGUUUGAAAGGCACUGUAAUGAUGAGUAGCAGGAGGCUUGUUCAGGGAGGAAUUUGCAGUUGCAACAGCUAAUCAGUACACUUCAUCUUUGUUAAGCGUUUCAAUGAGACAAUCAGACAACUGCACAUACUCUUAACCUGAAACGGGUAUGUAGGCGUAACAUCUAAAGGACACUCCUACAAUAUAUCAUAACUUUAUCAGACAAUGAAACAUAGAUCAUGUCGAGGUUAAAAGGAAGAAGCACAUAUCCAAACAAUCUCUUGUAUGUCUUGACAUCAAUCUAUAGUGUUGUGAUACUUCUUC